CAUUAAGAAGCUAUGGACCAGCAUUAGCCUUUUAAGCUAAAGAAAGAGGACAUCCCCUCCUUAAUGA
rnacentral:tRNA from 1 species